rnacentral:rRNA from 1 species
UACGGAGGGUGCGAGCGCUGUCCGGAAUCACUGGGCGUAAAGGGCGCGUAGGCGGCCUGAUAAGUAGGGGGUGAAAUCCUGCGGCUUAACCGCAGGGCUGCCUUCUAAACUGUCAGGCUUGAGCACAGUAGAGGCAGGUGGAAUUCCCGGUGUAGCGGUGGAAUGCGUAGAGAUCGGGAAGAACAUCAGUGGCGAAGGCGGCCUGCUGGGCUGUUGCUGACGCUGAGGCGCGACAGCGUGGGGAGCAAACAGG